rnacentral:rRNA from 1 species
UACGAAGGGUGCAAGCGUUACUCGGAAUCACUGGGCGUAAAGCGUGCGUAGGCGGUUCGUUAAGUCUGCUGUGAAAGCCCUGGGCUCAACCUGGGAACUGCAGUGGAUACUGGCGAGCUAGAGUGUGAUAGAGGAUGGUGGAAUUCCCGGUGUAGCGGUGAAAUGCGUAGAUAUCGGAAGGAACAUCAGUGGCGAAAGCGGCUUCCUGGACCAGUACCGACGUUCAGGCACGAAAGCGUGGGGAGCAAACAGG